rnacentral:ncRNA from 1 species
GCCGUCCUUAUCUUGGGGUUGCGCGGCUGCUCAAUGAACGCGUGGUGAGAGCAGCACUGCUAACGCCUGAGCAACACGCUCGCGCCCGCCGCUCGGCGCGGCGCAAUUUUUGGAACC